rnacentral:rRNA from 1 species
AGAGUUUGAUCCUGGCUCAGAACGAACGCUGGCGGCAGGCUUAACACAUGCAAGUCGAACGCACCCUUCGGGGUGAGUGGCAGACGGGUGAGUAACGCGUGGGAACGUGCCCUUCAGUUCGGAAUAACCCAGGGAAACUUGGGCUAAUACCGGAUACGUCCGAAAGGAGAAAGAUUGAUCGCUGAAGGAUCGGCCCGCGUCUGAUUAGCUGGUUGGUGGGGUAAUGGCCCACCAAGGCGACGAUCAGUAGCUGGUCUGAGAGGAUGAUCAGCCACAUUGGGACUGAGACACGGCCCAAACUCCUACGGGAGGCAGCAGUGGGGAAUAUUGGACAAUGGGCGCAAGCCUGAUCCAGCCAUGCCGCGUGAGUGAUGAAGGCCUUAGGGUUGUAAAGCUCUUUCGGCGGGGACGAUAAUGACGGUACCCGCAGAAGAAGCCCCGGCUAACUUCGUGCCAGCAGCCGCGGUAAUACGAAGGGGGCUAGCGUUGUUCGGAAUCACUGGGCGUAAAGGGCGCGUAGGCGGCUUUGUCAGUCGGGGGGUGAAAGCCUGUGGCUCAACCACAGAAUUGCCUUCGAUACUGCAUGGCUUGAGACCGGAAGAGGUUAGUGGAACUGCGAGUGUAGAGGUGAAAUUCGUAGAUAUUCGCAAGAACACCAGUGGCGAAGGCGGCUGACUGGUCCGGUUCUGACGCUGAGGCGCGAAAGCGUGGGGAGCAAACAGGAUUAGAUACCCUAGUAGUCC